rnacentral:snRNA from 1 species
AAAUCUGAAAGACUGAUGUACAAAAAUUGGAAUGAUACAGAGAUUAGCACAGCCCCUGUGAAAGGAUGGCAUGCAAAUUUGGGAAGCAUUCCAUAUUUUU